CGCGUAGGCGGCUCGAUAAGUCAAAGGUGAAAUCCCUCGGCUCAACUGAGGAACUGCCUUUGAAACCGUCGAGCUCGAGUCCAGGAGGGGGUAGCGGAAUUCCCAGUGUAGCGGUGAAAUGCGUAGAUAUUGGGAGGAACACCAGUGGCGAAGGCGGCUACCUGGACCGGUUCUGACGCUGAUGCGCGAAAGCGUGGGUAGCAAACA
rnacentral:rRNA from 1 species